rnacentral:ribozyme from 14 species
GUAAAUCAAACGGAAAAAAGAAAUCGGUGCUAUCAACAUGACCGCCAGAAAAAUUUCCAGAUUCACGUUGUGAUUCUUUCUUUUCUUUCUUUUCUUUCUUUUCUUUCUUUUCUUUCU